UGGUGGCUAUGGCGAGGAGCCUGAACCCGAUCCCAUCCCGAACUCGGCCGUUAAACUCCUCAGCGCCAAUGGUACUUCGUCUCAAGACGCGGGAGAGUAGGUCGCUGCCAGGCC
rnacentral:rRNA from 2 species